rnacentral:tRNA from 1 species
GGUUACAUGGUGUAACGGUUAACACUCUGGACUCUGAAUCCAGCGAUCCGAGUUCAAAUCUCGGUGGAACCU